GAAUUGCGAAAAGUAAUGUGAAUUGCAUAAUUCCGUGAAUCAUCAAAUCUUUGAACGCACAUUGCGCUGCCUGGAAUUCCGGGCAGCAUGCCUGUUUGAGUAUCAGUUUCAACUAUCAAGACUCCGGUUUUGGAUUUGAGUCAUGUUGUAAACUGACUUUAAAUGUAUGGAGUGCCCUUUCCCCGGCAUUACAGAGCCAGUCCUUUACAGGAAUGUCUGUUUUGCAGUUGAUCUGGUAGGCCUACUUAAACUAAACUUUUGAUCUCAAAUCAAGCAAGAUUACCCGCUGAACUUAA
rnacentral:misc_RNA from 1 species